GGAGAAAUUAUUGAAACAUGUAUUCUCAUUUAUAUUGAUAAUCUGAAAAAGCAUAUUACAAGUGUGAUUGGGUACAAUUGUUGAUCGGGUAUUUAUGUUCCCCUACAGUGAUUGAUGGUAUGUGUGUUCCUUUCCAUUGGAUGGGGGAAUUGUUGGCCAUCGUGAGUGGGGAAGAGUGUAGUUGCAUGUGUAGACUGUGUUCUGUGUGGUCGUGCUUUGUGGCCGAGGGUUCAUCUUUUUCAUGGAGAGGUCUGUUCAUUUGUAUCUUAAUGUGCCAAUCAGAUGUUUUUGUACUCUUUGUACUUUUGUGCACAAGAUAAGGUUUCAACACUAAUGUGUAGUCCCUUUUACCUGAUUUAUCUAAGGGAACCGAAAGUUUCCCUAGGCCCAAGUUCUUGACCACAAGUUCUGUAUUUGUUGUUGAUUCAGAAGUAAUGUUCUGUUUGAAAGGUUCUCUCGGACACAUGUUCGGUGGGACAAAGGCCAGGGCUUAUUGUCCAAGUUUUAGCCAUGUGAUCAUGUCAAAGGGCAAACUAGAGACCCUAGAUACGUAAACUCUUGUAUAGAUAUGUCAACCCUGGUAUAAAAGGAGGCCCCAGACUAAAAUUAUCAGAGUCUGGUAUGAACCAUUUUGUGUUGUAUCAUUCUCUCUCUUUGCAAAGAUAAUACAAUUGUGUUGUCCUUGGAAUUCACUGGUCCUUGUCUUUAUUUGCGCACAAACAUACAAAAUUAUUUAUCAGACAUAGUAAAAUUAUCUAUCAGAUUGGGGGCUCGAUAUCCGGGAUUCCAAUAUCUGGGGGUCAGGUGGACAUUCCAGAAAAUCCGUGCACAGUCAGGUCUAGGACCUGGGCAUUUGGCUAAAGUCCUCUGUUUGUUUUGAACUCUGAGGCGAGGAUUUCUACUCUGGCCCCCGGUGACGGGAUACUGGACCUGUAAACAACGAAGUCAGGACCAGUGAAUCCAAGGACAAGGAAACCCGCGCUCAAACAAUUGCAGAAUGAGCAACAUGGAUCCACCAGAGUCACUGCAGCCUUAUGACUAGGGUGGUCGCUGGAGCUACAACAGAGGAUGACGGGCAAAGUCCAGCUACAAAGGGGUAGACCUCACUAGGGGAGUCUUCGUCUCAAACCUGGUGAAAAAGGUAACACUCGUCAGGACUCAAUUAGGGAAGCUCCAGUGGCGGCCCUAUUCAUGGGUAAGAGGUUGACUCUUUUCAUCUCGAUUAAUUUCUAUGUAUAAGUGGAUUUCACCAACCCCCGUGGAAAGUCACUCCUCAAUUUAAGAAACUGGUCCUGAUAAAAGUGAUGUUGGGAUGAACUGAGACAUUUGAGAUUAAUUUAGUAUGCUCUGCGACUGGUCCGCCUGCAGUGUAUGUGACGUCAAUGAAAUACUGUAUUUGUAUAUGGAUUAUCCAUGUUCAGAUUGUUAUUGUGUUUAUUGUUACUGACAAAAUGUUUUGAAUUACAGCUAGUGUGAGGCUGGAUAGAUGGUCAAUAGUAGUAAAACACGGGACCACAAAUGUUCUGAUAACCAUACAAGUCCCAACUGCCGGAGAUGCAGGCCACGUCAAGGGAGUGAUGACUACGGGUGUGAUUUACAAUGUCAGGUUGUGGUGGUGGUAGUGGUAAUACAGCCCACCGAGGUGACACCUCUCACCUACAGCUCUUUCACCAUGGCUUGACAGAUCUGACGGUAACUACACAUGGUAACAAACUCCGACCGGCUGUCUAUAUUUUGGAAGUCGUUGUGUGCUACUGUAACUGUUGGUCCCCUCUGACUACUACUGAUAGAGGAAGUCAAUUCACCACAUGAUCAUCCAACCGCCUUGAGACCCAAAGUUAAAAGAGCACUGCAAGAUGUUGAUUUGCCUGCUUACCCUGGUGCUUACAUGGAUAGUUUACAUAUAACUCAACAAAACAACCUUGACAACAUGGCAAAAUUGUGUGGCGUUAGAUUUGCUGCCUGUGGACCGUGGGGGAGUCUGUGCUAUAUUUGGUUCUACUUGUUGUAUGUUUAUUCCCAACAACACUUUUCCUGACGGAUCAUUAGGGCACUUAAUGGCCUAACCGCUUUGUCUAACGAAUUGACUGAAAAUUGACUGGAACCAAAUUUCUUCGAGAGUUUAAUGACUCAAAAAUGGUUUGGUAGCUGGAAAGGGGCGGUACAAAAUGUAAUAACCUCUGUCUUGGUUGUUUAGAGUUUAAUGUCUAUGUUGGGCUGUUGUAUUAUUCCUUGUGUGCGAGGUCUGUUGCAGAGAGCCAUUGGAACUGCUGUGUAUCCUGAGACUCAGAUGCUGCUGGCUGACGAUCCCCCUUCCUAUGACCAACUUGAUAUUGAAAGUGGGGGAGGGGUGGCCGUUAGCUCAGCCGCUGAGGAGGAAGGGGACACGGACUACGGAGAUGGCUAUGGUGGUGACUUUGAGAAUCCUUUCAACGACCCUGAUGAUGACUAUGAUGGAGGCAUUCAUCCAGAUUUCCCCCCCGAUUUUGAUGUGUUGUGUCUCUCAACUUUCCCUGAGUAAAUCACUUAUGAUGUAUGACUUUUAGGGAACAGAAAUGCUUAAAAGAUCGAUGUUUUUCAUAAUUAUCAAAAGGGUGGAUUGUUGGAGAAAUUAUUGAAACAUGUGUUCUCAUUUAUAUUGAUAAUCUGAAAAAGCAUAUUACAAGUGUGAUUGGGUACAAUUGUUGAUCGGGUAUUUAUGUUCCCCUACAGUGAUUGAUGGUAUGUGUGUUCCUUUCCAUUGGAUGGGGGAAUUGUUGGCCAUCGUGAGUGGGGAAGAGUGUAGUUGCAUGUGUAGACUGUGUUCUGUGUGGUCGUGCUUUGUGGCCGAGGGUUCAUCUUUUUCAUGGAGAGGUCUGUUCAUUUGUAUCUUAAUGUGCCAAUCAGAUGUUUUUGUACUCUUUGUACUUUUGUGCACAAGAUAAGGUUUCAACACUAAUGUGUAGUCCCUUUUACCUGAUUUAUCUAAGGGAACCGAAAGUUUCCCUAGGCCCAAGUUCUUGACCACAAGUUCUGUAUUUGUUGUUGAUUCAGAAGUAAUGUUCUGUUUGAAAGGUUCUCUCGGACACAUGUUCGGUGGGACAAAGGCCAGGGCUUAUUGUCCAAGUUUUAUCCAUGUGAUCAUGUCAAAGGGCAAACUAGAGACCCUAGAUACGUAAACUCUUGUAUAGAUACGUCAACCCUGGUAUAAAAGGAGGCCCCAGACUAAAAUUAUCAGAGUCUGGUAUGAACCAUUUUGUGUUGUAUCAUUCUCUCUCUUUGCAAAGAUAAUACAAUUGUGUUGUCCUUGGAA